GUAGGUGGCAAGCGUUGUCCGGAAUUAUUGGGCGUAAAGCGCGCGCAGGGCGGUCCUUUAAGUCUGAUGUGAAAGCCCACGGCUCAACCGUGGAGGGUCAUUGGAAACUGGGGGACUUGAGUACAGAAGAGGAAAGCGGAAUUCCACGUGUAGCGGUGAAAUGCGUAGAGAUGUGGAGGAACACCAGUGGCGAAGGCGGCUUUCUGGUCUGUAACUGACGCUGAGGCGCGAAAGCGUGGGGAGCAAACAGGAUUAGAUACCCUGGUAGUCCACGCCGUAAACGAUGAGUGCUAAGUGUUAGGGGGUUUCCGCCCCUUAGUGCUGCAGCUAACGCAUUAAGCACUCCGCCUGGGGAGUACGGCCGCAAAGGCUG
rnacentral:rRNA from 1 species